CCCUUAGAUGUUCUGGGCCGCACGCGCGCUACACUGACGAAGUCAGCGAGCAUGUCCUACGCCGACAGGUGCGGGGAAUCUUGUCAAACUUCGUCGUGAUGGGGAUUGAUUAUUGAAAUUCUUGAUCAUCAACGAGGAAUUCCUAGUAAGCGCAAGUCAGCAGCUUGCGUUGAUUACGUCCCUGCCCUUUGUACACACCGCCCGUCGCUACUACCGAUUGAAUGGUUUAGUGAGAUCUUCGGAUUGGCGCCACUGCGGCUCAGCAAUGGGCUCGGUGGAUGCCGUAAAGUUGAUCAAACUUGAUCAUUUAGAGGAAGUAAAAGUCGUAACA
rnacentral:rRNA from 1 species